rnacentral:lncRNA from 1 species
UUCAGCAACACUUAUAUCAAUAAGAAAAAAUGGAAGAGAAAGAAAGGGUUUUGGGUGGGUAAGGGAGUGAUUAGAUAGAAGUUCUCCUUACUUCUUUAAGAGGUAAGAGAUUUGGUUUUAACAGAAGCAAAGACAUUUAGCAUUGAGAGGAUGCCAUAGAAUGGAGGAGAUUUAAAUAGAUGAAGAGAGACGUCACAGACUGAAU